rnacentral:rRNA from 1 species
GACGAACGCUGGCGGCGUGCUUAACACAUGCAAGUCGAACGAAGAGCGAUGGAAGCUUGCUUCUAUCAAUCUUAGUGGCGAACGGGUGAGUAACGCGUAAUCAACCUGCCCUUCAGAGGGGGACAACAGUUGGAAACGACUGCUAAUACCGCAUACGAUCUAAUCUCGGCAUCGAGGAUAGAUGAAAGGUGGCCUCUACAUGUAAGCUAUCACUGAAGGAGGGGAUUGCGUCUGAUUAGCUAGUUGGAGGGGUAACGGCCCACCAAGGCGAUGAUCAGUAGCCGGUCUGAGAGGAUGAACGGCCACAUUGGGACUGAGACACGGCCCAGACUCCUGCGGGAGGCAGCAGUGGGGAAUCUUCCGCAAUGGACGAAAGUCUGACGGAGCAACGCCGCGUGAGUGAUGACGGCCUUCGGGUUGUAAAGCUCUGUUAAUCGGGACGAAAGGCCUUCUUGCGAACAGUUAGAAGGAUUGACGGUACCGGAAUAGAAAGCCACGGCUAACUACGUG